GGUCCGUUGGCAGAAUUGGCAUUGCGUCUGACUACGAAACUACUCGUUUGGGUUAAUCAGUACGACAUCAGGAGAUUCUGGGUUCGAUCCCCAGGCGGACCU